CUCUCUCUCUCUCCAAGUGUUGACAAAACAAACUCGCUCUUUGAAUCGCUCUGAAAACUCAGAACGAAACUCAAAAUCUCCAUCUCUUUCAUUUUCCUCAUGGCUUCCACCGAAGAAAACCUACGCAAAACCCUAGCCGACAAACUCUCCGCCGUCGAAAUCCAAGGUAACAUCGUCCGUUCACUCAAGGCUUUAUCGGCACCUAAAACUAACAUCGAAGCCGCCGCUCAAGCCCUAAACGCCUCAAACUUGAGUAAUCAUCGAUAGAGAAAUCAUCCAUAGCUUCAGUCGUUACUCUCUGGCUCCGAUUCUCGUGAAGGCUUCCAUCAAUUUGUUGUUAAUACGCUGGAAACGAUGGUUGUUUUUAUAUUCUAUCGUUUAAGAUUUAUUGCAGUGUUGCUGGUCUAUAUGAUUAUGGUCCUCUAGGUUGUGCCGUUAAAUCCAAUGUCUUAUCCUUUUGUGAUCAGAUGAAUUGUUAAUGGUUACAAAACAGAAACUAACUAAUUGGAGAUUUAUCAAAUUAAUUUCUAUGCAGCGAAGAAUGAAAUGUGAUUAGGAGCUGAAUUUUGUUAGAUUAGGAGUUGGUUUUGGUAGUUUAGGAGUUGUUUGGAUUGAAUUAUUUGAGCUUAUUUUCUGUCAUAAUCAGUUAGAGGGGGAGAAUGUUUGAAAAAACCUAUAGUAGAAUCAGUUUAGGAUAUGUUUGGGUUGAUUUAUUUUUAGCUUAUCUAGUGGCAUAAGCACUUGUUAACGGUUAGGGGUAACUUAGGAAAACAACUUAGACAUGUUCAUAAUUUGUUUUCAUUUUAUUUUUCGUAAGCUUAUGAAAAUAGGAUACAGUUUAUAUGAAAAUAAUUUUACUCUGAGAUUUUUUUUAUAGAAAUAGCUUAUAUGGAAGUAGUUAUGCUUUCAGUGGUUUAUUGAUUUGUUUAUCCAAAUGAGCCUUACCGGUAUGUCCAUUCGCUGUUUUAGAAUACUUUCUUAAGCUUUAUAGAUAUAUUUAUGGAUAUAGCUUAUAGCUCAGAUGAAAACAAUUUUAUUUUAUUCUAUCUUUUGUUAAAAUCAGCUAGAGCAGUCGCAACUGCGACGCAGAAAAAGAGUUUUGUGCUUCCAGUCUCGUUUCAGCCGCAAAGACGAAUGAUCUAGUGGGAGUGGUUAUGGGACUGUUAGGGGAUUGGAGUUGAUGUGGCUCUCUUCUCUUCAUCUCUUUGGAGAGCUUUUGCAUUCUUAUUUGAUUUCUGUUCUCAUUGUACGCCAUCUAACAUGCUAACACACAUUUGUGGCAUAAGAUUUUUACAUGAUUAGCCUUGUGUGCAGGAUCUUCGAUUAAUGAGGAUCUAGGAUGAUUGCAUUGUGGAUAAAAUGCAUAAUGAGUAGGUCUCUCAAGUUAGUUUAACUUUGGACCUUCUUAGUCAUGUCUUGUUUUCUAAUUGAGUUUUAGUCAGUAGUCUACACUUUUUCAGAUUGGAGAAUCCAGAUGACCAUACCAAGCAGAAAUUGAAAUCAAAACUUGACGAGUUGAAGCUCGAAAGAGAGAUGGUGCGAUUAAGUAAUCAAGAAAUGCUAAGAAAAUUACACCUAAAGUUUCAUGAGCCAUGGGGCCAGCGUAUGAAGACUGGUUAUCAGAACUCUCGCUUUGUUCAUUAGGUAAAAUUAAAUAUUGGUGCAUCUUCACAUUUGUAACUAUAUCUUUUAAAUCAUAAUGUCUAUUAGGUUGUGGUACUAAUGUUUUCAAAUAACAUACCAACUAAUGCUAAGUCAUGCCUCAAUUUACUAACAUGUAGUAGUUAUGCAGGUUAAGUAUAACAUUAUAAAACUGAUCUCACGAAAGGUAAUUUGGUUAAUGUGCAUGAUGUAGGUCGAUAGAUUUGCCUGCCUUUA